UACGGAGGGGGCUAGCGUUGUUCGGAAUUACUGGGCGUAAAGCGCACGUAGGCGGCUUUGUAAGUUAGAGGUGAAAGCCCGGGGCUCAACCCCGGAACUGCCUUUGAUACUGGUAGUCUUGAGUUCGAGAGAGGUGAGUGGAAUUCCGAGUGUAGAGGUGAAAUUCGUAGAUAUUCGGAGGAACACCAGUGGCGAAGGCGGCUCACUGGCUCGAUACUGACGCUGAGGUGCGAAAGCGUGGGGAGCAAACAGG
rnacentral:rRNA from 1 species